rnacentral:rRNA from 1 species
UAAGGUCACGGCGAGACGAGCCGUUUAGCAUUACGAUAGGUGUCAAGUGGAAGUGCAGUGAUGUAUGCAGCUGAGGCAUCCUAACAGACCGAGAGAUUUGAAC